GAUGAACGCUGGCGGCGUGCCUAAUACAUGCAAGUCGAGCGAACAGACGAGGAGCUUGCUCCUCUGACGUUAGCGGCGGACGGGUGAGUCACACGUGGAUAACCUACCUAUAAGACUGGGAUAACUUCGGGAAACCGGAGCUCAUAGCGGAUCAUAUAUUGAACCGCAUGGUUCACUAGUGAAAGACGGUUUUGCUGUCACUUAUAGCUGGAUCCGCGCCGCAUUAGCUAGUUGGUAAGGUAACGGCUUACCAAGGCAACGAUGCGUAGACGACCUGAGAGGGUGAUCGGCCACACGGGAACUGAGACACGGCCCAGACUCCUACGGGAGGCAGCAGUAGGGAAUCUUCCGCAAUGGGCGAAAGCCUGACGGAACAACGCCGCGUGAGUGAUGAAGGACUUCGGAUCGUAAAGCGCUGUUGUUAGGAAAGAACAAAUGUGUAAUUAACUAUGCACGUCUUGACGGUACCUGAUCAAAAAGCCACGGCUAACUACGUG
rnacentral:rRNA from 1 species